GGGGGGGGGGUGAUGACAUAAUACACGUCACUGACACCCGUUACAAUGGGAAGUACCAGUGGCGCUGCACCCUGGUGAACCCCCGCACAGCCAAGCCCUUGCAGGCGGGGGUCAUGCCCAAUUACAACAGGUAUCCAAGAAGGGCUCUGAGCGUGUGCGAUUGGUCAAGGCUGUGUCCCCCAGCUGUCGUGGGARUGGUUCCACCCCACAGGUCCUUUACACACUCAGCAACCGUCAUGAGGAGCACCUGAUUCCUUACAGUAUGGUCCAGCCAAUACAGGUCAAGACCAAACGGCCUGUCAUCUUCUCCCCCUCCUUGCUCUCUCGCGGCCUCAGAGAGACUGCUUCAGCCAGCAGAGUCUGGACUGGACUUCAACACCUGCCAACCAGAGCCAAUCCAGGCCACAGAGAYAAAUAUUAAGAGUGUUUUCCUGCUAGAUGCUUCCACCCCAGAGCAGGCUCUUGGAAUCAGUCUGCAGUCUAUUCAGGAUGUAAUAAGCCAGGACAAGCACUGUCUGUUGGAGCUGGGCCUGAGUAGUGUGGAGGGCCUUCUAAGGCAGGGGGUGUACCCUAUCGUCAUUAAUAUCCGACCCAAGAACAAAAAACACAAGAAGCUAAAGAAGUUGCUGACCGGGCGAGGGGAGGAUGGCGUGAUGGAGGAGGUGUGUCAGGCGGACYAGCAGCAGCUGGAGACCCUYCCCCUGCUCUACSACACURUGGAACCUAGCACCUGGAGCUGCACCGAGGAUCUGCUUCUAGCCAUACGCAAUGUCAUCCACAGCCAGCAGAAAGCACUGCUGUGGGUUGAGUUGGAAAGGCUCCAAUAGAUCCCAAUGUUAUCGCCCAGUUUUAUUGUUUUACUAAGCUAAAUUUGAUACAAUUAUCAUAUACAUUUCACACACACCCAUUUAGAUACCUAGUUCUACCACAGUAAAUAUGAAGUUUCAUGUUCAUAUGAUGAAUUAAACCUUACAAGCUCAGUA